rnacentral:rRNA from 1 species
UGAACUCCACAUACGCAUCCUUUGCUGAAGGCAAUGGUUAACGGAGCGAAAGCGACGUUCAACCGCAAAACAAGCAGAGGGGGCUUAGUGGUGGGGUGACUGCGUACCUUUUGUAUAAUGGGUCAGCGACUUAUAUUCUGUAGCAAGGUUAACCGUAUAGGGGAGCCGGAGGGAAACCGAGUCUUAAUUGGGCGUUAAGUUGCAGGGUAUAGACCCGAAACCCGGUGAUCUAGCCAUGGGCAGGUUGAAGGUUGGGUAACACUAACUGGAGGACCGAACCGACUAAUGUUGAAAAAUUAGCGGAUGACCUGUGGCUGGGGGUGAAAGGCCAAUCAAACCGGGAGAUAGCUGGUUCUCCCCGAAAGCUAUUUAGGUAGCGCCUCGUGAAUUCAUCUCCGGGGGUAGAGCACUGUUUCGGCUAGGGGGCCAUCCCGGCUUACCAACCCGAUGCAAACUGCGAAUACCGGAGAAUGUUAUCACGGGAGACACACGGCGGGUGCUAACGUCCGUCGUGAAGAGGGAAACAACCCAGACCGCCAGCUAAGGUCCCAAAGUCAUGGUUAAGUGGGAAACGAUGUGGGAAGGCCCAGACAGCCAGGAUGUUGGCUUAGAAGCAGCCAUCAUUUAAAGAAAGCGUAAUAGCUCACUGGUCGAGUCGGCCUGCGCGGAAGAUGUAACGGGGCUAAACCAUGCACCGAAGCUGCGGCAGCGAACGUAUCACUUAAAGCGAUUCAGCGGGUUACGAUUGACGGAGCGAAGCGACGUCAAAGCGUAUACAAAGUCGAGUCGGUUUAAGGAUACGUUCGUUGGGUAGGGGAGCGUUCUGUAAGCCUGCGAAGGUGGCCUGUGAGGGUUGCUGGAGGUAUCAGAAGUGCGAAUGCUGACAUAAGUAACGAUAAAGCGGGUGAAAAGCCCGCUCGCCGGAAGACCAAGGGUUCCUGUCCAACGUUAAUCGGGGCAGGGUGAGUCGACCCCUAAGGCGAGGCCGAAAGGCGUAGUCGAUGGGAAACGGGUUAAUAUUCCCGUACUUGGUGUUACUGCGAAGGGGGGACGGAGAAGGCUAUGUUGGCCGGGCGACGGUUGUCCCGGUUUAAGCGUGUAGGCUGGUUUUCCAGGCAAAUCCGGAAAAUCAAGGCUGAGGCGUGACGACGAGGCACUACGGUGCUGAAGCAACAAAUGCCCUGCUUCCAGGAAAAGCCUCUAAGCAUCAGGUAACACGAAAUCGUACCCCAAACCGACACAGGUGGUCAGGUAGAGAAUACCAAGGCGCUUGAGAGAACUCGGGUGAAGGAACUAGGCAAAAUGGUGCCGUAACUUCGGGAGAAGGCACGCUGACACGUAGGUGAAGUGAUUUACUCAUGGAGCUGAAGUCAGUCGAAGAUACCAGCUGGCUGCAACUGUUUAUUAAAAACACAGCACUGUG